ACCGAUAAAGAAGGUCUAAGGUGUUUAAGAAUUCCUAAGAAUGCGUCGACGUGCUCAAUUAUUGUUGGGUGUAAUCUUUAAUAUAUAAGCAAAAAAAUUACAUUUUUUUCUCUUCUCUCUCGCGACCAAGGUUGCGUAAUUGAUUGAGAUUUCUCAAUGAUCUGUUGGAAGUAGAGUAGAUUGAUUUGAUUUUUGGUCACCCUUCGUCUGUUCUUGGCCGUUAGCUCAGCCUCUCCACCGAUGGUGGAUCUCAACAGCGACUUUGGGUGAGUUAAUCGACGACUUGGUUGGAUGAAAUCGGAGAGCACCAAAUCGGAGCCUUUCCUUCACCAAUUCGGAGAUGUUCAAUCACCAAUCUCUUUCUCAUGAAAUGAUUCGUAUCUGGGUGAUUGAGUUUACCAACAGAGAAUGUUAAACCAACAGAGUGCCAGGAGCAAGUUGCUCAGGCACAUGGAUAUCUCUGGCAACCGCAAAGUUGUUGUGAUUUAAUUACGUCCCAUUCAGAAGGAUAAUGCGUCCUCCCAAGAAAGGUGCUGCUGUUCAAUCAAAGGCCACGUAACAGGACUCUAACCUCUGUUCAUGAAGCAAUGCUCGAAGAUGUUGCUUUCCCUGCUGAGAUUGUUGGAAAGCGUACUUGUUACUGUCUUGAUGGUUCCAAGAUCAUGAAGGUAUUCUAUCAUCUAUGAAAGAGUAAACUCAGAUCUUUCUCUUCAUGAGUUUAAGCUCAUCUUUACCUUCUCUUUUAAAUGUGUAAACAUUUAAAACAUUUAUGUUUUACUUCAAAUAUUUUUAUUUUGAAAACAAUAUUUUUCAAAAAUAAGAAUCUCAUUAAGAAACUGACCAUUGGAGGGGAUAAUUUUAUUUCACCUACAAAAAGUUCUUAGUUUUAAAAAGUACACAAUUUACUCUUAAAAGAUUCUAAGAGUCUCAAAAUUAUAAUCUUCCGAUAAAGAUGCUCUUACAACACAUUGAAAAAAAAAAAAAAAAAGGCAAAGACAAUAAGGUUUAAUAAGCAUGGCGGGGUGGGGGAGUGAGUCUAGUAGUCUUACUUGAUGUAUUGAGAGAGCCAUUUAAAGCCUUCGCCAUAACCCAUUUUCCUAACGAUGCUGCACAUGAAAA